UACUUGCCUCCAUCCACUGGCACUGAUCCACCACAUCCCACGCCGAGCGCGACGCCAGCAGCAGGCUAGCUCCGCUGUCCGCUCCGCCGCUCACUAGCUGCUGGACCGCGCCUCCCUCCAUCGCGCCGGCGCGCGCGCCUAACUAGCGGAGCCGCCUUUUCAUGGUCCCCGCCGUGGUCGGGACGAGAUGCCUCGCCUCGCAUUCCUCCGCCGCUCCCUCCCCGCGAGGCUUCUCGCGCGAGCGUGUGGUGGUGGUGGUGGUGGAGACCAGGGGAGCCCGGACCAGGUGGCGCGGGACGAGGAGGCCGGAGGCAGCGGCGGAAUGAGCGGGCGGUCGUCGGCGGGUGGGCCGUCCGGCGGGGAGUGCUACGCGUGCACGCAGCCCGGGGUGCCGGCGUUCCACUCCACGACGUGCGACCAGGUGCACUCGCCGGACUGGGACGCCGACGCGGGGUCCUCGCUCGUGCCGGUCCAGGGCCAGGCGCAGGCGGCGGCGGCGGCGGCGGCGCCGCGGCAGCGGCACGCGGCGCGGUGGCUGUUGGGGCCCGUGCUGGACCCGCGGAGCAGGCGCGUGCAGCGCUGGAACCGCUGGAUCCUGCUGGGCCGCGCCGCCGCGCUGGCGGUGGACCCGCUCUUCUUCUACGCGCUCUCCAUCGGCCGCGCUGGCCAGCCCUGCCUCUACAUGGACGCCGGGCUCGCCUCCGCGGUCACGGCGCUGCGGACCUGCGCCGACGUGGCGCACCUCGCGCACGUGCUCCUGCAGCUCCGCCUCGCCUACGUCUCCCGCGAGUCCCUCGUCGUCGGGUGCGGCAAGCUCGUGUGGGACGCCCGCGCCGUCGCCGCGCACUACGCACGCUCCGUCAAGGGCCUCUGCUUCGACCUCUUCGUCAUCCUCCCCAUCCCGCAGGUUAUCUUCUGGCUGGUUAUACCAAAGUUAAUCAGGGAGGAGCAGGUUAAGCUUAUCAUGACAAUACUGCUGCUCAUGUUCAUAUUUCAAUUUCUCCCCAAGGUCUACCAUAGUAUACACAUCAUGAGGAAAAUGCAGAAGGUGACAGGUUACAUCUUUGGAUCAAUAUGGUGGGGAUUUGGUUUAAAUCUAUUUGCCUAUUUCAUUGCUUCUCAUAUUGCGGGUGGGUGCUGGUAUGUUCUUGCGAUCCAGCGCAUCGCUUCCUGCCUCCAGGAAGAAUGCAAGAGAAACAACAGUUGCGAUCUAAUAUCGCUAGCUUGUUCCAAGGAGAUAUGUUUUCACCCUCCGUGGUCAUCGAAUGUUAACGGAUUCGCGUGCGAUACGAACAUGACCUCCUUUAGCCAACAAAAUGUGUCUACUUGCUUGAGUGGAAAAGGUUCCUUCGCUUAUGGAAUCUAUUUGGGGGCUCUUCCUGUUAUAUCGAGCAAUUCGCUCGCUGUCAAAAUACUCUAUCCUAUAUUUUGGGGCCUCAUGACACUCAGUACUUUUGGUAACGACCUUGCCCCAACAAGCAAUGGCAUUGAGGUGAUAUUCAGCAUAAUCAAUGUCCUCAGUGGCCUUAUGCUCUUCACGUUGCUGAUCGGAAACAUACAGGUAUUUCUGCACGCGGUCCUGGCAAGGAAGCGGAAGAUGCAGCUGCGGUUCCGGGACAUGGAAUGGUGGAUGAGGCGGAGGCAACUACCGUCCCGGCUGAGGCAAAGGGUGCGCAAAUACGAGCGCGAACGCUGGGCCGCCGUCACGGGAGACGAGGAGAUGGAGAUGAUCAAGGAUCUGCCUGAAGGGCUGAGGCGGGACAUCAAGCGCUACCUGUGCCUUGAGCUAGUUAAGCAGGUUCCACUGUUCCAUGGCAUGGACGACCUGAUCCUGGACAACAUCUGCGACCGGCUGCGGCCUCUGGUGUUGUCCAGCGGGGAGAAGGUGAUCCGGGAGGGCGACCCCGUGCAGCGCAUGGUGUUCAUCCUGCAGGGCAAGCUCCGGAGCACGCAGCCGCUGACCAAAGGCGUGGUGGCGACGUGCAUGCUGGGCGCGGGCAGCUUCCUGGGCGACGAGCUGCUGUCGUGGUGCCUGCGCCGCCCCUUCGUGGACCGGCUCCCCGCGUCGUCGGCCACGUUCGAGUGCGUGGAAGCGGCGCAGGCGUUCUGCCUCGGCGCGCCGGACCUGCGGUUCAUCACCGAGCACUUCCGGUACAACUUCGCCAACGAGAAGCUCAAGCGCACGGCGCGGUACUACUCGUCCAACUGGCGGACGUGGGCCGCCGUCAACAUCCAGCUCGCGUGGCGCAGGUACAGGGCCCGGACGUCGGCGGACCUGGCGGCGCCGCCGUUGGUGGGCGGGCCCGACGACGGGGACCGGCGGCUCAGACACUACGCGGCCAUGUUCAUGUCGCUACGGCCGCAUGACCACCUAGAGUGAGCACUGAUGAGCAGGAGGGAGGGACCAUCCUAGGCUCCUAGCUGUGCCGGCCGCGUCAUGGUGACUGUACAGUGUGCACUGUAAUAGUAUAUUGCUGCCAUCUUUUGCGAUAUUGCUGCUUCUGACCGCGCCAUUGCGGCCUCAGCUGCAGGCUGCAGCUGCUGAUGAACAGAAGAGAUGGCAGGACCGCAGGCCAGAUUCAGGCGGAGCAGAGAACACAAGUCGGCGUUCAGGUUCUCCACCACCAGAUUCAGAAACCGUCUGUUCGUCCUCUCCAAAACGAUUAGAAUCGAUAAACGCGCUCGUAAAUCGUAAUAACCCUAAACCAAAGCGUGAGCGAGACGCGCGAGCGCCAUCAGCGGCGAAGCUCGUACACCGGGACAACUCCACAAUACGGACGGAUUCCAAAUGCGGACCGAUAGAGAUUAUUACUAGUUUUGCUCCUACAAUUGUGUUCCAGGUUGCUCUUCUGUUGAUUAGACAUGGUGCUGAUGCUGAUGCUGAGGACAAGAGGAAGGCUACACUGUCCUUGGCGGAGCAUCGAACAGCCCAAGGCCUGCACUUGUCGACGCAGCCAUGGCGAUGCUUGAAGGUUGAUCUAGUUCUCUGCUUUAAGCCUAAACUUUCAUGUCCUAUCAAGAGGAAUGGAAAGUUUGAUAGGAGAAACUGUUCUGAGUAGAAAGUGUUGGAUUUCUAUAUUUAGAUUGAUUAUUACUUUCCUUGUUUAGGCUUGCAUGCCACCAUUCUUGCUCACGUGCAUGUCUAUAGUUGGAACUUGGAAGGCACUAAUCAGAUGAUAUCCUUCCUAUUCCACCGGACACUGUUUCCAUGAGACGGUUGGGAUACGGAAGGAGUCUGGCCUAUAUGUAUUAGCUGUUUCUCUCUA